GAUACCAGGGGCAAAAGGUCAUAUUUUCAUGCUAGCAUGGAAAAAUAUGACUUUGGGACCCGCAAAACAUGAGAAAGUAGCCCGAUUAGGGCGGAUUUCGAAUGUUUUAGGAUUGCGAGAGCACAAAGUGCGUAGCAAUCUGUUGGUAUC
rnacentral:sRNA from 1 species